rfam:Equus caballus chromosome 13, whole genome shotgun sequence.
GGAUGUGAGGGCGACCUGGCUGUGACAUCUGUCACCCCAUUGAUCACCAGGGUUGAUUCGGCUGAUCUGCUGGCUAGGUGGGUGUCCCCUUCCUCCCUCACUGCUCCACGUGCAUCCCCCCUGAAGAUGGGCGCUCGGGCAAAGAGGACAACCUUCCCCGAGAGAGGAGGACCAUUCUUCGGUCAAGGGUAUACAAGUAGCCGCUCUCCCCUGCUAGACCCCCCAAACCAGCUCUCAAGGUCCAUUUGUACAAGAACCUAGAGGAGUCAAGCUUCCAGGACUCCAGACACAUCCAAACGAGGCACUGCAUGUGGCAGUCCGCGUUUCUUU